GAUUGCUACAAUGGGCACAGCACUUCAGCAUCCCUGUACAUGUGAUGGACUUCACAACAAAGACCUAUUCAAGUGUGACAUGAUGCAUCAAGUACUUCACAACCGAACGCAUUUUAUGUCACCAGUGAAGAAAGAUAGGACUCCAUAUGUACCACCUCCAGUGAGUGAAUCAGGAUCAGGAUACGAAUGGUUGAGUGAUCAACUGUUGUAUGUUUUUGCAUACAUACUGCUUGUUGCAGUAGUACUGAUGGCAGUCAUGAUUGUUUUUCACAUACGGACACACAGAGGGAACGAAAAGCCCCAAUUUCACCCUCCUGAUAAAAAUGGUGUUGUAAUUUUCGGACCAUGUUGAGACUCAAACACCCAUGUAACUGUGUAUAUAUUGUGUAUAUGAUUAUGGUACAGUAUGCAAUGGUAUAUGUCUGAUAAUGCAGAACCUGCA